rnacentral:rRNA from 5 species
AAAUUGAAGAGUUUGAUCAUGGCUCAGAUUGAACGCUGGCGGCAGGCCUAACACAUGCAAGUCGAACGGUAACAGGAAGCAGCUUGCUGCUUUGCUGACGAGUGGCGGACGGGUGAGUAAUGUCUGGGAAACUGCCUGAUGGAGGGGGAUAACUACUGGAAACGGUGGCUAAUACCGCAUAACGUCGCAAGACCAAAGAGGGGGACCUUCGGG